rnacentral:rRNA from 1 species
AGAGUUUGAUCAUGGCUCAGAUUGAACGCUGGCGGCAGGCCUAACACAUGCAAGUCGAACGGUAACAGGAAGCGCUUGCUGCUUCGCUGACGAGUGGCGGACGGGUGAGUAAUGUCUGGGAAACUGCCUGAUGGAGGGGGAUAACUACUGGAAACGGUAGCUAAUACCGCAUAACGUCGCAAGACCAAAGAGGGGGACCUUCGGGCCUCUUGCCAUCGGAUGUGCCCAGAUGGGAUUAGCUUGUUGGUGGGGUAACGGCUCACCAAGGCGACGAUCCCUAGCUGGUCUGAGAGGAUGACCAGCCACACUGGAACUGAGACACGGUCCAGACUCCUACGGGAGGCAGCAGUGGGGAAUAUUGCACAAUGGGCGCAAGCCUGAUGCAGCCAUGCCGCGUGUAUGAAGAAGGCCUUCGGGUUGUAAAGUACUUUCAGCGGGGAGGAAGGGAGUAAAGUUAAUACCUUUGCUCAUUGACGUUACCCGCAGAAGAAGCACCGGCUAACUCCGUGCCAGCAGCCGCGGUAAUACGGAGGGUGCAAGCGUUAAUCGGAAUUACUGGGCGUAAAGCGCACGCAGGCGGUUUGUUAAGUCAGAUGUGAAAUCCCCGGGCUCAACCUGGGAACUGCAUCUGAUACUGGCAAGCUUGAGUCUCGUAGAGGGGGGUAGAAUUCCAGGUGUAGCGGUGAAAUGCGUAGAGAUCUGGAGGAAUACCGGUGGCGAAGGCGGCCCCCUGGACGAAGACUGACGCUCAGGUGCGAAAGCGUGGGGAGCAAGCAGGAUUAGAUACCCUGGUAGUCCACGCCGUAAACGAUGUCGACUUGGAGGUUGUGCCCUUGAGGCGUGGCUUCCGGAGCUAACGCGUUAAGUCGACCGCCUGGGGAGUACGGCCGCAAGGUUAAAACUCAAAUGAAUUGACGGGGGCCCGCACAAGCGGUGGAGCAUGUGGUUUAAUUCGAUGCAACGCGAAGAACCUUACCUGGUCUUGACAUCCACGGAAGUUUUCAGAGAUGAGAAUGUGCCUUCGGGA